rnacentral:rRNA from 1 species
GAUGAACGCUGGCGGCGUGCAUAACACAUUCAAGUCGAACGGACGAGGCCCUUCGGGGCUGAGUUAGUGGCGGACGGGUGAGUAACGCGUGAGCAACCUGCCUUACAGUACGGGAUAACGUCCGGAAACAGACGCUAAUACCGUAUGAUGCAUUCGGGACGCAUGUUUUGGAUGCCAAAGAUUUAUUGCUGUAAGAUGGGCUUGCGUCUGAUUAGCUAGUUGGUGGGGUAACGGCCUACCAAGGCGACGAUCAGUAGCCGGACUGAGAGGUUGGACGGCCACAUUGGGACUGAGAUACGGCCCAGACUCCUACGGGAGGCAGCAGUCGGGAAUAUUGCGCAAUGGAGGAAACUCUGACGCAGUGACGCCGCGUAUAGGAAGAAGGUUUUCGGAUUGUAAACUAUUGUCGUUAGGGAAGAUACAAGACAGUACCUAAGGAGGAAGCCCCGGCUAACUAUGUG